UACGAAGGAUCCAAGCGUUAUCCGGAUUUAUUGGGUUUAAAGGGUGCGUAGGCGGCUUAUUAAGUCAGUGGUGAAAGACUUCAGCUUAACUGAAGAACUGCCAUUGAUACUGAUGAGCUUGAGUACAGUUGAGGUGGGCGGAAUGUGUCAUGUAGCGGUGAAAUGCUUAGAUAUGACACAGAACACCGAUUGCGAAGGCAGCUCGCUAAACUGUAACUGACGCUGAGGCACGAAAGCGUGGGGAGCGAACAGG
rnacentral:rRNA from 1 species